rnacentral:lncRNA from 1 species
AACCACAAAACAAACACAAAUAGCAACUCAAACAUCAUACAUUGCUCAUAAACUCAACAUUUACCCUAACAACAAACAACUAACUUAAACAUGCAUUUCUACCCCAUGAACCUUCAAGAAACUUAGUCAAAACAUGAAAAGAGGUGAGGAUCUACUCUUACCUCUUGAAGAUCGAGAGGAGAGGCGAUCCAACUCGGAGGUGGGAGAGAUCUAGCUCCUUGGGCCUCCAAACUCCAAAAACUUGUUCUAAGCUCACAAAUCUUCAAAAACCAAGCAACCACUUGUUAAAACUUGAAAGAUUUGAGGAAAAUCACCAAAACCAACCAUGGGAGAGCAUGGACUCACCGUUGGCC